GCCCAUGUAUGUCAACAGACCGUCUGGAGCCGGCACAGCUCUGCAGCAAUGGAGCCGUGAUGAGCAGCUUUAGCCAGUGAUCCACAACCAGCCGGUGCUGCCCAACAACCCUGGAGGGAAGCCCAGAGUGGGUCAAAACCCCCAGAAAAGGGGCAAGAGAGAAGAAGAUGCAGAUGCCAGGGCGAUCAAUCCUGUCUAUUCCACGCCGCUCCCCUAGCUCCAUAGCCCAUCAGAGAGGAGGGAAGUACAUCUCGCAGGCUGUGGUGUACAGCGAAAUCCCCUCCUGAUCACGGCCUCUGCAACCAACCCAUCCCCGUCCCACCCCACACUGAGAACAUUUCGCAUAAUACCCCAUCCCCCUAACCUUCCCUUCCCUGCAAAACCUGCUA